rnacentral:rRNA from 1 species
AGAGUUUGAUCCUGGCUCAGGACGAACGCUGGCGGCGUGCUUAACACAUGCAAGUCGAGCGGAAAGGCCUCUUCGGGGGUACUCGAGCGGCGAACGGGUGAGUAACACGUGAGUAAUCUGCCCUUCACACAUGGAUAACCACCGGAAACGGUGGCUAAUACAUGAUACGACACGUCUUCGCAUGAGGUGCGUGUGGAAAGUUUUUUCGGUGGAGGAUGUGCUCGCGGCCUAUCAGCUUGUUGGUGGGGUAAUGGCCUACCAAGGCUUCGACGGGUAGCCGGCCUGAGAGGGUGACCGGCCACACUGGGACUGAGACACGGCCCAGACUCCUACGGGAGGCAGCAGUGGGGAAUAUUGGACAAUGGGCGGAAGCCUGAUCCAGCAACGCCGCGUGAGGGAUGACGGCCUUCGGGUUGUAAACCUCUUUCAGUACCGACGAAGCGAGAGUGACGGUAGGUACAGAAGAAGCACCGGCCAACUACGUGCCAGCAGCCGCGGUA